AACUAUCACAUACGACCAUACCUGGCAGAAAACUCGGGAUCCCGUCCGUUCUCCCCUCGAUAACCUGUCAAGGGCCAGACCAGUACCCAGGUGGGUGACCACUGGGGAAUCCCUGGUGUUGUAUGUUUUUAGCCCUUUUU
rnacentral:rRNA from 1 species